rnacentral:rRNA from 1 species
CCUACGGGGGGCAGCAGUGAGGAAUAUUGGUCAAUGGACGCAAGUCUGAACCAGCCAUGCCGCGUGCAGGAAGACGGCUCUAUGAGUUUUAAACUGCUUUUGUACGAGGGUAAACGCAGAUACGCGUAUCUGUCUGACAGUAUCGUACGAAUAAGGAUCGGCUAACUCCGUGCCAGCAGCCGCGGUAAUACGGAGGAUUCAAGCGUUAUCCGGAUUUAUUGGGUUUAAAGGGUGCGUAGGCGGUCGGAUAAGUUAGAGGUGAAAUUCCGAGGCUCAACUUCGGAAUUGCUUCUGAUACUGUUCGACUAGAGAGUAGUUGCGGUAGGCGGAAUGUAUGGUGUAGCGGUGAAAUGCGUAGAGAUAAGAAGGAACACCGGUUGCGAAGGCAGCUUACCGGGCUACUACUGACGUUGAGGCACGAAAGCGUGGGGAGCAAACAGGAUUAGAUACCCCAGUAGUC